AUGGCAGGGAAGCACCGCAUAAGUCGCCAGUACUAUGAGGAACCGCGAGGAUUUCGUGAUGGUCCUCCUCCUCGACUUGCACAAGAAAGGUCUAUCUCACCACGUCGCUUCGAGGGAGAGCUGUCUAGCCGCCGUGAUGAGAUACGCAGAAUCCGUGAUGACAACCAACAUCUGGUGGAUGAAAUUGUUGGACUCAGGCAAGCAAUGUCCCAUUUGAAAGAAGAUCUCUAUUCCUCGAGUCAGGCUAUACCUAAGCUCCGCGCAGAGAAAGAACUUGAAUCGAGGGAGCUGACUCAGAGGAAUCUGAAGCUGGAAGCUGAGCUACGCUCUUUAGAACCUCAUAGGCAAGAUGCCUUGCAGCUACGAUCUGAAGUAGGCACGCUGCAGUCUUUGAGGCAAGAGUUGACUGAAAAGGUGCAGGGUCUAACAAAGGAGGUUGAGCAUCAGAACUCUGAAAAGCAGCGCAUAUCUGCCAUGGUAGCUGAAUGA
rnacentral:rRNA from 1 species